GGGAUGGCGGCGUGCUAUACAUGCAAGUCGAGCGGACAGAAGGGAGCUUGCUCCCGGAUGUUAGCGGCGGACGGGUGAGUAACACGUGGGUAACCUGCCUGUAAGACUGGGAUAACUCCGGGAAACCGGAGCUAAUACCGGAUAGUUCCUUGAACCGCAUGGUUCAAGGAUGAAAGACGGUUUCGGCUGUCACUUACAGAUGGACCCGCGGCGCAUUAGCUAGUUGGUGAGGUAACGGCUCACCAAGGCGACGAUGCGUAGCCGACCUGAGAGGGUGAUCGGCCACACUGGGACUGAGACACGGCCCAGACUCCUACGGGAGGCAGCAGUAGGGAAUCUUCCGCAAUGGACGAAAGUCUGACGGAGCAACGCCGCGUGAGUGAUGAAGGUUUUCGGAUCGUAAAGCUCUGUUGUUAGGGAAGAACAAGUGCAAGAGUAACUGCUUGCACCUUGACGGUACCUAACCAGAAAGCCACGGCUAACUACGUGCCAGCAGCCGCGGUAAUACGUAGGUGGCAAGCGUUGUCCGGAAUUAUUGGGCGUAAAGGGCUCGCAGGCGGUUUCUUAAGUCUGAUGUGAAAGCCCCCGGCUCAACCGGGGAGGGUCAUUGGAAACUGGGAAACUUGAGUGCAGAAGAGGAGAGUGGAAUUCCACGUGUAGCGGUGAAAUGCGUAGAGAUGUGGAGGAACACCAGUGGCGAAGGCGACUCUCUGGUCUGUAACUGACGCUGAGGAGCGAAAGCGUGGGGAGCGAACAGGAUUAGAUACCCUGGUAGUCCACGCCGUAAACGAUGAGUGCUA
rnacentral:rRNA from 1 species